rnacentral:rRNA from 1 species
UACGUAGGGUGCGAGCGUUUGUCCGGAAUUAUUGGGCGUAAAGGGCUCGUAGGCGGUUUGUCGCGUCGGGAGUGAAAACCCAGGGCUUAACCCUGGGCUGGCUUCCGAUACGGGCAGACUAGAGGUAUGCAGGGGGAGAACGGAAUUCCUGGUGUAGCGGUGGAAUGCGCAGAUAUCAGGAGGAACACCAACGGCGAAGGCAGCUCGCUGGGACGGUACUGACGCUAAGGCGCGAAAGCGUGGGGAGCGAACAGG